rnacentral:rRNA from 1 species
CCUACGGGAGGCAGCAGUGAGGAAUAUUGGUCAAUGGGCGGAAGCCUGAACCAGCCAAGUCGCGUGAGGGAUUAAGGCCCUGCGGGUCGUACACCUCUUUUGCCGGGGAGCAGAGGUCCGGACGUGUCCGGGCCGGGAGAGUACCCGGAGAAAAAGCAUCGGCUAACUCCGUGCCAGCAGCCGCGGUCAUACGGAGGAUGCGAGCGUUAUCCGGAUUUAUUGGGUUUAAAGGGUGCGUAGGCGGCCUUUUAAGUCAGCGGUGAAAGUCUGUGGCUCAAUCAUAGAAUUGCCGUUGAAACUGGGAGGCUUGAGUAUGUUUGAGGCAGGCGGAAUGCGUGGUGUAGCGGUGAAAUGCUUAGAUAUCACGCAGAACCCCGAUUGCGAAGGCAGCCUGCCAAGCCAUGACUGACGCUGAUGCACGAAAGCGUGGGGAUCAAACAGGAUUAGAUACCCCUGUAGUC